rnacentral:lncRNA from 1 species
AUGGAGUUCACCACAGGGGCAUUGGGCAUGCUACUUCCCAAGUUAGGCAAGCUCCUCAAGGAAGAGUAUGACCUGCAAAAGAGUGUAAAGGAGGGAAUCAUAUUCCUGAAGACCGAGCUUGAGAGCAUACAAGCAGCCCUAGAGAAGGUCUCAAAGGUGCAGCUAGACCAGCUAGACAAGCAAAUCAAGAUAUGGGCUAGAGACGUGAGGGAGUUGUCCUACGACAUUGAGGACAACAUCGAUAUCUUUAUGUUGCAUAUCAAUGACAUUGAGCCAGAUAAGAAAUAUAACUUCACAUGGUUAAUUGAUAAGUGCCAGAAGUCAUUGUCCAAGGUAAAGAUCCGCCAUAAAAUAGCCAAUGACAUCAAAGAUAUCAAGCGCCAAGUCAUGGAGGUGAUGGAACGGCACAAAAGAUACAUGAUUGAUGAUAUUGCAACUAAGCUUCCAACAACUAUUGACCCUCGCAUAUUGACAUUAUAUGAGAAGGUCACCAAGCUUGUUGGCAUUGAUAAGGCAAGUAAUGAUCUAAUAAAGAUGUUGUCUGUGGGGAACGGGGUGUCCGAGACCAUGCUCAAAAUGGUCUCUGUUGUCGGAUUUGGAGGAUUGGGCAAGAUAACUCUUGCCAAAGUAGUGUUCGACAAGCUUAAAGUGCAAUUUGAUUGUUUUGGUUUUAUUCCGGUUGGACAGAACCCCGACAUCAAGAAAGUUCUCAAGGACAUCUUAAUUGAAGUUAAUAAGGACAGGUAUAUGGUACUUGAUGUAUCAACGCAAAGUGAAAGGCAUAUAAUUGAUGAACUCCGAGAAUAUCUUGGAAAUAGAAGGUACUUGAUUGUUGUCGAUGACAUAUGGGAGACAUCAACAUGGAAUAUUAUUAAAUGUGCUUUUCUAGAUAAUAAUUGUGGAAGUAGAGUGAUUGCAACAACUCGUAUUUCUAAUGUUGCUAGUGAAAUUACAGAAGAAUUUGGUGAUGUUUACAGCAUGGCGCCACUUUCUAAUGAUAACUCGAAAAAGUUGUUCUAUAGCAGAAUAUCUCUUGCCGAUUGCAACAGCCCUACUAAUAAUCAGUUGGUUGAGGGAACUGAAAAGAUCUUAAAGAAAUGUGGCGGCGUACCACUUUCUAUAAUUACAAUGGCUAGUUUAUUAGUUCAUAAACCAAUGGAGGAUUGGUCCGAAGUGUAUGAAUCUAUUGGUUUUGGGGUUGCAGAUCAAAAUGAGGUAGUUCAGAAUACGAGGAAGAUAUUGUCUUUUAGCUACUACGAUUUGCCUUCACACCUAAAGACUUGUAUGCUUCACCUAAGCAUAUAUCCAGAAGAUAGUUUGAUUGAGAAGGAUGGUUUGAUAUGGAAGUGGGUAGCUGAAGGUUUUGUCCAUGAGGAACAAGGGAAGACGUUAUUUGAGGUCGGUGAGAGAUACUUCAUGCAGCUUAUAAAUAAAAGCAUGAUUCAACCAAUGGAGAGAUACGGUAUUGUGAACGGGUGUCGUGUCCAUGACAUGGUGCUAGAUCUCAUUCGCAUCCUGGCAACCAAAGAAAACUUUGUAAAGAUAUUGGACAGGGUACAUGUGGAUCCCAGCUCUUCUUCACAAAGCUACACAGUCCGUAGGAUAGCAUUGCACAAGAGAUGGAACCAAGAAAGACUAGACGCCAGCAUGACACGACUGAGGUCAUUCAAUGCCAUGGAGUGUUCUAUUAGUGUGAUGCCCUCACUUAUUAGCUUUCGAGUUCUACGUGUGCUAGCACUGGAAAAAUGUAAUGUCACAGGAGGAUGUUGCCUCAAGCAUCUUGGAAAGCUGCUUCAUUUGAGGUACCUUGGACUUAGGUACACACGUGUUGCUGAAAUCCCAAGCGAAAUAGGUGAUCUCGUACACCUGCAGGUACUGGAUGUCCUGGACACCUGGUUGGUGACACUACCGGCCACCAUUGGAAACCUAACAAGGCUAAUGCGCCUAUACAUCAACAUUAGAAGAAGAGCUCUUACCAGUGUUGGGAGCCUGACGUCACUGCAAGAUCUGUCUCUCGGUACUGUAUCCGAUGACAGCUGCCCAAACUUCAUUGCAGAGGUGUGCAAAUUGACGGAUAUGAGGAGGAUUAAGAUUAAUUGGUCCAAGAAAACAGACGAGGGCUCGCUAGAGGCACUGGUGGAGUCCUUGCGCAUCCUACACCAGUUACAGAACCUGGAGAUCUGGUUCCCUAUACCACUGCAGGUAGAGUACCCAGUGAUGAGCGGCUGGGAAGGUUGGGAGCCUGCGCGGCAACUCCGGCAAUUCUGCAUACACAACGUGGACCUGCCUCGGCUGCUGGCAUGGGUGAACUCCAUGCGUGUCCCGCACCUCACCCACCUGGACCUUCGAGUUGUAGGCAUGGAGGCACGAGACCUGGACGUCCUUGCAAUGAUGCCGGCACUCUGCUUCCUCCGCAUAGACGUCAAGGAGAGAUUUUCGUGGACAGCCGGUGGCGGCGGAUCAUUCCCAAACCUGAGAUACUGCGACACGAACAUAGAACUCACCUUCCUUCAAGGAGCGAUGCCCAUGCUUCUGGAUGUUGUUUUGAUCGUGCGCGGAUCUAGGGAUGAUCCUGCUAACAAUGUUGGCUUGGGGAACCUCCCACUGCUCAAGAAAGUCCUUAUUCGGCUCAAUUGCGAAGGUGAGACGGCCAAGCAGGUUGAAGAAGUGGUGGUGGCAUGGGAGCAUGCCGUCCAUGCUCACCCCAACCGUCCAGUCAUUUCUGUGCACCGAUUUGGGGAGUUCUUGAUGAAAAAAGAUGAUGGUGAUGACGAGGAGGAGAUUUUAGCUACGUAUGAAGUUGAUGGAAGUGAUCAUGAGGAGGAGAUUUCAGCUACCGACCAACAGGUAUUAGAGCAGGUACAAUAGCUAGCAGGCU